GGAAAAAAACUUUGUUUUGCUAUAAGAAAAGGGGGCAGAUCCAAAUCGCAAAAGGGGGACUCCGCAUCUGUUCCACAUACCUCCAGUCAUCGCUUCAUCACCAUCAUCAUCGCCCUUCACCGCCUAGCCUCCGUCUCAACACCAACCUUCAUCAUCUCCGCCGAUCCAUCAUUAUCACCACCAUACUCCCUUCGAUCUUCUGCCCAACUGUUCCUCUCAUCUGCUAUCAUCAACCACCGAAACCCACUUCCGGUCACGGAACUUCACCUCUGUCGCAUGAGCUCACCAUCCACCAUCGACUUCAACAACACAAACAUCUCAGCUACACUUCCAGCCUCAACCGUGAACAUCCAUCAUCGACGCAGUCUCCAGAACUCCGUUCUCACGCUCAGACCAGUCACAAACCGGCGAUAGCUACUUCAACAAUUUUUUGCUCGUUCUGUCCGUCGGUGAUCCUCCGAUCUACAAUAUCAACAACAGCGGAUACUCUCCGAUUUCCGCGUCAACUGUGUCGGCAUAUUCCCUUCCGCCAACAUUCAAUUCUGUUUGCAACAAUCUCUAUCCAGCUUCGAUUGGCGAUUACGACGUCUCGGUUGGAUGGAAUGUUACUAUGA